AGUGCGCAUGUGUGAGCCCUCUCAUCCGACUCCUGAGAUCUUAUCAGGAAGCUGCUGAUCACCAGCUUCAGGUGUUUCUAUUUAUUGGGAGACUGUCUUUCCCUGGCACCAGCUGCAACCAAUGAUUACUUUAGAGAGACAGUUUAACAACUGCCUGACCAUCACCUGAUGGUCAUCUGACAUUCCCAGGACUCCAGAUAAGAGCCCAGGCCAAAGGACACCUUGAUUUUGACCUUGUCAGACCUGGAGUUGAAAAACCAGCUGCACCCUUCUAGAAUUCUUACUUACAAAACUCCUCGUGAGGCAGUCAACUUUGCUACUGGCAGCCAGGAGUCUCCUAGGAGCUUCAAUAGCUCAAUACAUCCAGAAAAACAGAGAAAGGGAGAAAGAGUGGCAGGGAGGAGAGGUUAGAGAGAGAGAGGGAAGUUUCUGAAUCAAAGAGCAGAGGGAGAUGUUACAAGACAAGAUGAUUUCACUGGAAGCUGAGUUUUGCCAGCUUUGGGGAAAUGCUGAUGCAGAACAUCAUUUAUUUAAGGCUGAUACUCAUGGAUAGAAGAGUCAAAGUGCGAAUAUAUGCACCCUUCUAUACGGAUUCUGCAGAAAGAUAUGCUUGGGUCAUGACUCAGGUGAAUUUCCUAUGAAACUUUGUCUUUGGUAAAGCAUCCCAUUCUUGGCUGUUCCAUAUAUAUAUAUAUGGUAAGUUUGGGAGUGGCCUUGCUAGUAAAGAAUAAAUUAUUUACUUGGUUCUAGCUAUUUACAAAGUUGCUGGUGACUAAUUGCUGGAAAGAAGCUGGGACGUUCUGUGGCCCCUCCAUUUUAUAUCCCCUCCCUUUGGUUCUCUAGGAAAUUGAGUUCAGGAAAGCUACCAGGAAUAAAACUCUUACUUUUUA
ensembl:lncRNA LINC02263 long intergenic non-protein coding RNA 2263